CUCACUAUGUUUCACAGGCAUGAUAUGCUGUUGCCAGUUUCUGGUUCAAUUUGCAUGUGUAAUUCUCUUUUUCUCUCUCUUGUCAUAUAUGGAACAUGUUGAAACUGGUAGCCAUCUUUUUUCCCCUCUUCUUUUGGCAUGAAACAACUUAAACUUUUAUACCUAGAGGCUGGAAUUGGUUACCAACUUCUGUAAUGAAUACUAGUAAGG
rnacentral:misc_RNA from 1 species